rnacentral:lncRNA from 1 species
UGAGAUUUGUAGAUGCUCAAAAUACACUACGAAAUCUCUCUAAUUCCCUCUAAUUCCUCAACUUUCUCAAAUUCUUUAAAAUCAAAUUCUAAUUGAAUACACCUGGAAUGUUAUAAACUUCUUUAAAAUUCUAAUUGAAUACAUCCGGAUUUCUAAGGAUUUUCAUAAAAUAUCUUAAAAUUCUGAUUGAAUACACAUUGAAUUUCAGAGAAUCACUUAAAUUCUUGAUUGAAUAACCCUAGAUUCAUUAAAAGAAUUAAAAUUCAUUGAAUACAAACGGAUCCGGAGAGGAUCCCUUUCCCACUACUACCACCACCUCCACUGUUGUAGGCUUGUAGCUUUCGCUUUCCACCUUCCAAAACUAGAAAACCUUUAAACUUUUUUUACUUUUAUGAUAAUAAUAACUAGCCUUGCACGUGCGUGCGAGAGAUUUUUUUGCAUCACGAACACUACCCGCUCUAAAGAUGUGUUGUUUUAAAUAUUCUAAUAUUUCUUAAGUGAUUAUUUUAUAAAUUGUGGGUGUGUGUCUAUCAGAACAAUUUCUUAUUAUUUUCAAUCAUCUAACUUAGUCUUUUUGCACCCACCCAUUGUACAUAAAAAAUGAAAUUCAUGAAUUGCACACUAACUAUUCUACAUUUUUUUUGCUUACUGAUUAUUAUGGUGUCAUUUUUUUUGUUUGGCUGAUAGAAUUUGGUUUCACAAACUAAACUAUGCUUGGUCAUUAUUAUCACUUUGGUAAUUACU